rnacentral:rRNA from 1 species
CCUUACCGGUCGCGGUUCAGAGAUGGAUUCCUUCAGUUCGGCUGGACGGUGACAGGUGCUGCAUGGCUGUCGUCAGCUCGUGUCGUGAGAUGUUGGGUUAAGUCCCGCAACGAGCGCAACCCCCGUCCUUAGUUGCUACCAUUUAGUUGAGCACUCUAAGGAGACUGCCGGUGAUAAGCCGCGAGGAAGGUGGGGAUGACGUCAAGUCCUCAUGGCCCUUACGGGCUGGGCUACACACGUGCUACAAUGGCGGUGACAAUGGGACGCAAAGGCGCAAGCCCUAGCAAAUCUCAAAAAGCCGUCUCAGUUCGGAUUGGGCUCUGCAACUCGAGCCCAUGAAGUUGGAAUCGCUAGUAAUCGUGGAUCAGCAUGCCACGGUGAAUACGUUCCCGGGCCUUGUACACACCG